rnacentral:rRNA from 1 species
UGGGAAUUUGGACAAUGGGCGCAAGCCUGAUCCAGCCAUGCCGCGUGCGGGAAGAAGGCCUUCGGGUUGUAAACCGCUUUUGUCAGGGAAGAAAUCUUCUGAGUUAAUACCUCGGGAGGAUGACGGUACCCGAAGAAUAAGCACCGGCUAACUACGUGCCAGCAGCCGCGGUAAUACGUAGGGUGCAAGCGUUAAUCGGAAUUACUGGGCGUAAAGCGUGCGCAGGCGGUUUUGUAAGACAGAGGUGAAAUCCCCGGGCUCAACCUGGGAACUGCCUUUGUGACGCAAGGCUUGAGUGCGGCAGAGGGGGAUGGAAUUCCGCGUGUAGCAGUGAAAUGCGUAGAUAUGCGGAGGAACACCGAUGGCGAAGGCAAUCCCCUGGGCCUGCACUGACGCUCAUGCACGAAAGCGUGGGGAGCAAACAGGAUUAGAUACCCUGGUAGUCCACGCCCUAAACGAUGUCAACUGGUUGUUGGGAAGGUUCCUUCUCAGUAACGUAGCUAACGCGUGAAGUUGACCGCCUGGGGAGUACGGCCGCAAGGUUGAAACUUAAAUGAAUUGACGGGGUCAUAGCUGUUUCCUG